GCCGGCGAUAAGUUGUUGCCAUAAAGCUCGUACUUAACGCAAAAUCGAAUAACUAAACGAAUUGACAAUCAGAAUUAUUACACUGGAACCUAGAGAAUCCGUGGAGCAGUUGUUAAUGACUUCCUAAUAUGAUUAGAAUUGGGCCCAAACCUAAAACCUUUUCGAAUAACGAACUUACAUAUUAAAAUAUAUUUAUAUAUAUGUAUGUAUGUAUAUAUAUACAUAUGUAUGUAUGUAUAUACUCUUACUGGCUCUUAAAUGUAGUGUCAACUCGGGAGUUAUGCUCCGUAUGACUCCGUUGCACUGGGCAGUUGAAAAAAGGCACAAAAUAAUAGUGCGUUUACUGCUUAAGUGUCAAGCAGAUGUCACAUUAGUGUCUAAAUUUGGGAAGACCCCAAUAGCGCUAGCUGUCCUUACUGAGCAGGCAGACAUUCUUUCCGAGCUAGAAACUGCUCGGCAGGCUCAGGCCAAUCGCAAAUACAACGAAGAGGCGGAGAAACAGACUAGUGAUGCGGUAAAUUCUAUUAUGGACGAGACUUACAAAACUCUUGAGAAUGUGGAUAUGUCAGUUGAAGAUAAAAUGGAUGUACUGGAAAAUCUUCGGCAGGCAGCAAUGUCUUGGGUGACACCCUAUUAAAUAUGUUAUAAUCACACGGCAUUGAAUCUGUCUGACGCUGGGCGCAUGGUGUUACACGAAACAAAGGCCACGCAAAACGUUAAUGGUAGCACACCGACUUACCGGAAAAUCGCAAAUCAUGUCACUAACACACACAGUUCUCCUCUGCAAAUGAUUCGUAUGAAUGUCAUCAAACAAAAGGAGUCAAUUUCCCCAAGUACGUGUGCGGGUUUGACAAAAAACAAGAAUAUAAGGAUAAUAUUUAUUUUACUUUGGCAUAUGGGGCAUAUGUUUGUAUGUAUUGUAUAUGGUUGUGUACGUUAUAGCUUUGUAUUUUGAAUAUUUUUUAACUUUACUUUAAAUAUGUAAUAAAUUGCUAGGCAACGAA